UGGCAUAAUGGUUGAAGCACUCAGCUGCUAACUGAAAGUUCGGUGGUUCGAACCCACC
rnacentral:tRNA from 1 species